rnacentral:rRNA from 1 species
GCACGUGCAUACAAUGCUAAUGCACCAGAUCCCAUUAGAACUUUGUAUUUAAGUGUGAUUAGGCUAGAGUAGUAUUGGGAUGGGUGGCCUCUUGGGAAGUCCUAGUGUUUUACAUGCC